rnacentral:rRNA from 1 species
AGCGAACGCUGGCGGUAUGCUUAACACAUGCAAGUCGAGCGCGAAAGUGACUUCGGUCAUGAGUAGAGCGGCGGACGGGUGAGUAACACGUGGAUAAUCUGCCUUUAGGACUGGGAUAACCCUGGGAAACUAGGGCUAAUACCGGAUAAGACCACAGGUUCCAUGGAACCAGGGGUAAAAGGCGGCCUUCGGGCUGUCGCCGAAAGAUGAGUCCGCGUCCCAUCAGGUAGUUGGUGAGGUAACGGCUCACCAAGCCGAAGACGGGUAGCCGACCUUAGCGGGU